GCUGCGUCACCGCCGACAACAGCGCCGAGAUUGGAGAAAGGGAAGACACGAGCCGACGGCGAACACUUCCGGAAAUGAUCGAAGUGUCCCCGAAGAGAGACGGGAAAAAACGAAGGCAAGUGGAGCGGCACGAGGAGCCCGCACAUGUUUCUCUGACACAGGAAGUGGCAACAAGGUCUGAAGGGGGAGGAGCUUAAGAAGGAUUAGGUCAGCAGGCUGCAGCUGAUGACAUCAUCACAAAUCCACUUGGCCGUGUCCUGCUGUGGUUCUUCUUCUCUUCCCCUUCAGAGUCCACCAUCAGGACUGCAGACUCCCCAGGAGCACCUUGGCCACAGUCCAGUUCUACCUGCAGCCGUCGCCAUGCCAACCGUCAAGGGCAAGAAGAAGAGGCCCAAGAAGGAGGCAAACGAAGGGGAGGAGCCUGGUGAAGCAGUGGACGAGCAGACGCUGACCCCUGACCUUCUGGAGGCGGCGCCACAGAAGAAGAGGAGGAAGAAGAGGAGCUCUAUGAUUGACCAGGAAGACACGCCCAACGGCAACACCACCAUGGACCAGGACCAGGACCAGGACCAGGACCAGGGUGCCAUGGCCAGGAAGACCAGAAGGAAAAGGAAGGUGAAGUCAUCAGAUCAUUGCACCAACAACCUACAUGAUGACAUCAUCAUGGACACACCCCAACACUCCUCCCCCCAUGGACACGCCCCCCAUGGACACGCCCCCAGAGUCUUUGUGGAGAGGAGCAGGCGCCCCCAGGUGGAGCACACAGACUCAGACUACCUGGAGUCCAGACAGGCGUGGAGCACCAGAGACGUGGCCUUGCAGGUGCACAACAGCUUCAGGGUGCUGGGCCUCUUCUCCCACGGCUUCCUGGCGGGCUGUGCGGCGUGGAACAUGGCGGUGGUCUACGUGCUGGCGGGCGAGCACAUGUCGUCACUGACCAACCUGCUGCAUCAGUACCACUCGCUGGCCUACGCUGCUCAGUCGCUGCUCUACCUGCUGCUCGCCAUCAGCACUGUGUCCGCCUUCGACAGAUGUUUAGUGUUUCCUGUGCAGAGUGAACCUGGCCAAGGCCUCCAUGGCUCUGAGAGGUAUCAUCACCUUGGAUCCUGCAGCUAUGGCAUCGUUUUUGUAUUUCAUGGCACUGAUCCUGGCCCUCAGUCAACAAAUGACCAGCGACCGAAUCAGCCUCUAUCCCUCAGCCAAUCACACGCUGUGGCCUCCUGGUUCUGAGGAGCAGAUCUUGGGACCGUGGAUGGUGGUCAACCUGGUGGUGGCGUUGUUGGUGGGCGUGGCUUGGGCCGUCAUCGCCACAAGGCCGGACAUUGACUACACAGAAGAGUUCCUGAUGUCCAUGGAGGUGGAAGGUUAUCCCAGAGGAGAAGACAACAUUCCUGCCUGAAACAUCGUCCAAGUGUCCUGCAUACCAUUUAUUUCUUUUUUCUACACUUUAAGUCCAAAUAAACACAGCAUCUUCUUUUC